rnacentral:ncRNA from 1 species
CCGGCGACGGGGAAUCUGAAGGAAGCCGGAUUGCAGAAAAAAACCGCAGGGCAAAACUCUGGCCCGACGAACAGAAACCAGGUAUAGGCCGUAAGCGAAGGGUAAGACUGCAAUUCAAACCAAAGCCCAAUAGCUGCACGGAAUCGCUUGCGGUAGACGUGGCGGGCAUAU